GGAGUCAGUGAGAUGUUGAUAUCAGGUAGUGUAGGAGUCAGUGGGAUGUUGAUGUUGAUAUCAGGUAGUGCAGGAGUCAGUGGGAUGUUGAUGUUGAUAUCAGGUAGUGUUGGAGUCAGUGAGAUGUUGAUAUCAGGUAAUGUAUGAGUCAGUGGGAUGUUGAUAUCAGGUAGUGUUAGAGUCAGUGAGUUGUUGAUAUCAGGUAGUGUUGGAGUCAGUGGGAUGUUGAUAUCAGGUAGUGUAGGAGUCAGUGAGAUGUUGUUAUCAGGUAGUGUUGGUGUCAGUGAGAUGUCGUUAUCAGGUAGUGUAGGAGUCAGUGAGAUGUUGAUAUCAGGUAGUGUAGGAGUCAGUGAGAUGUUGAUAUCAGGUAGUGUAGGAGUCAGUGAGAUGUUGAUAUCAAGUAGUGUUGGAGUCAGUGAGAUGUUGAUAUCAGGUAGUGUUGGAGUCAGUGACAUGUUGAUAUCAGGUAGUGUAGGAGUCAGAGGAUUGUUGAUAUCAGGUAGUGUUGGAGUCAGUGGGAUGUUGAUAUCAGGUAGUGUUGGAGUCAGUGAGAUGUUGAUAUCAGGUAGUGUAGAAGUCAGUGAGAUGUUGAUUUCAGGUAGUGUAGGAGUCUGUGGGAUGUUGAUGUUGAUAUCAGGUAGUGUAGGAGUCAGUGGGAUAUCAUGAUGAUAUCAGGUAGUGUUAGGAGUCAGUGGGAUGUUGAUAUCAGGUAGUGUAGGAUUCAGUGAGAUGUUGAUAUCAGGUAGUGUAGGAGUCAGUGGGAUGUUGAUAUCAGGUAGUGUAGGAGUCAGUGGGAUGUUGAUAUCAGGUAGUGUAGGAGUCAGUGAGAUGUUGAUAUCAGGUAGUGUAAGAGUCAGUGGGAUGUUGAUAUCAGGUAGUGCAGGAGUCAGUGAGAUGUUGAUGUCAGGUAGUGUAGGAGUCAGUGAGAUGUUGAUAUCAGGUACUGUAGGAGUCAGUGGGAUAUUGAUGUUGAUAUCAGGUAGUGUAGGAGUCAGUGGGAUGUUGAUGUUGAUAUCAGGUAAGUUUGGAGUCAGUGAGAUGUUGAUAUCAGGUAGUGUAGCAGUCAGUGAGAUGUUGAUAUCAGGUAGUGUUGGAGACAGUGGGAUGUUGAUGUUGAUAUCAGGUAGUGUAGGAGUCAGUGAGAUGUUGAUAUCAGGUAGUGUAGGAGUCAGUUAGAUGUUGAUGUCAGGUAGUGUUGGAGUCAGUGAGAUGUUGAUAUCAGGUACUGAAGGAGUCAGUGGGAUGUUGAUGUUGAUAUCAGGUAGUGUAGGAGUCAGUGAGAUGUUGAUAUCAGGUAGUGUUGGAGACAGUGGGAUGUUGAUGUUGAUAUCAGGUAGUGUUGUAGUCAGUGAGAUGUUUAUAUCAGGUAGUGUAGGAGUCAGUGAGAUGUUGAUAUCAGGUAGUGUAGGAGUCAGUGGGAUAUUGAUGUUGAUAUCAGGUAGUGUAGGAGUCAGUGAGAU
rnacentral:lncRNA from 1 species